CACGGGGGGAGCAAGCGUUGUUCGGAAUCACUGGGCGUAAAGGGCGUGUAGGCGGUCAGGUAAGUGAGAUGAUGAAUGCCCCGGCUCACCCGGGGCACCGGCGAUCUCAUACUGCUUGGCUUGAGUACGGGAGAGGAUGUGGGAAUUCCUGGUGUAGCGGUGAAAUGCGUAGAUAUCAGGAGGAACACCGGUGGCGAAGGCGCACAUCUGGCCCGAUACUGACGCUGAGGCGCGAAAGCUAGGGGAGCAAACGGG
rnacentral:rRNA from 1 species